rnacentral:rRNA from 1 species
AGCUAACGCAUUAAGUUAUCCGCCUGGGGAGUACGGUCGCAAGAUUAAAACUCAAAGGAAUUGGCGGGGGCCUGCACAAGCGGUGGAGCAUGUGGUUUAAUUCGAAGCAACGCGCAGAACCUUACCAGCCUUUGACAUCCUAGGACGGUUUCUGGAGACAGACUCCUUCCCUUCGGGGACCUAGUGACAGGUGCUGCAUGGCUGUCGUCAGCUCGUGUCGCGAGAUGUUGGGUUAAGUCCCGCAACGAGCGCAACCCUCGUCCUUAGUUGCCAUCAUUUAGUUGGGCACUUUAAGGAAACUGCCGGUGAUAAGCCGGAGGAAGGUGGGGAUGACGUCAAGUCCUCAUGGCCCUUACAGGCUGGGCUACACACGUGCUACAAUGGCAUCUACAGUGGGCAGCUAUCCCGCAAGGGUGAGCUAAUCUCCAAAAGAUGUCUCAGUUCGGAUUGUCCUCUGCAACUCGAGGGCAUGAAGGCGGAAUCGCUAGUAAUCGCGGAUCAGCAUGCCGCGGUGAAUACGUUCCCAGGCCUUGUACACACCGCCCGUCACACCAUGGGAGUUGGAUUCACCCGAAGGCAGUGCGCUAACCGCAAGGAGGCAGCUGA